GCAAAGACACACCUUCGCCGCCGUGGAGCGCGUAAUUUCCGCGGUUGGUUUUUCCCCCGUGGUCGUUCUCUCCGCCGAGCCGCCACACAAGUCGCCCGCCAUUCGCGUCCGUCAUUGGUGUUGUUUUUCGGACAUUCUGCGUGGCGAGUCGGCGUACAGUUCCAAACUCGCGUCAUGCCCUACCUCCUCGUUUGGAGCCAGGUCCCUGGUGCGGCUCCAACGUACCUUGACGGAAGCCAGGACCCAGCUUUGUUGAAGGAGCUUGGCGGGAAAGUUAACAAGCCCGUGUUUUCGAAGCGUACACUGGUCAAGGUGGAUGACACUCCGUGUUCCGUGCUCAACAAGCUGGAAGUCAUGGGCUACAAGGUGCUCGCCGUGUCUGGGGACACACUGGGCACCGUCUGGACCGUCCACAAAUCGUGACGAAGGGAAAUUCGGACCAAAACGAAAGCUACAAUCUACAAGGGCCGUUCAAGGUUCAUCAGGCCUUUUGCCCGUGGGAAAUCGCUGAACAAGUUUAGCAUGAUGAAACUUUCGGAGGACGUCAACGGGUCCCUGAACAAAUAGAGAGCUGCCUGGAUCACUUCGUGAUCCAAUGGGAACUUUUUUCCUUCAAAAUGCUCCUUCAGAAGGACAAA
rnacentral:misc_RNA from 1 species